UCCGUGAAUGAAUUUCAUUGACGAGAUCUUCUUAGAGGGACUUUUGGUGACUAACCAAAGGAAGUUGGGGGCAAUAACAGGUCUGUGAUGCCCUUAGAUGUCCUGGGCCGCACGCGCGCUACACUGAUGCAAUCAACGAGCUUAUAACCUUGGCCGAGAGGCCUGGGCAAUCUUGUAAACCUGCAUCGUGAUAGGGAUAGAUUGUUGCAAUUUUCAAUUUUCAACGAGGAAUUCCUAGUAAACGCAGAUCAUCAAUCUGCAUUGAUUACGUCCCUGCCCUUUGUACACACCGCCCGUCGCACCUACCGAUUGAAUGGUCCGGUGAAGCCUUGGGAUUGUGGUUUGGUUGCCGUCUUCGGAACCAGACUGUGAGAACUUG
rnacentral:rRNA from 1 species